rnacentral:rRNA from 1 species
CCAGACUGGAACUGAGACACGGUCCAGACUCCUACGGGAGGCAGCAGUGAGGAAUAUUUCACAAUGAGCGAAAGCUUGAUGGAGCAAUGCCGCGUGCAGGAUGAAGGCCCUCGGGUUGUAAACUGCUUUUAUAAGAGAAGAUUAUGACGGUAACUUAUGAAUAAGGGACGGCUAACUACGUGCCAGCAGCCGCGGUCAUACGUAGGUCCCGAGCGUUAUCCGGAGUGACUGGGCGUAAAGAGUUGCGUAGGCGGUCAAGUUAGCGAGCGAUGAAAACUAUCGGCUCAACCGAUAGCUUGUUGUUCGAACUGCUUGACUCGAGAGUAUCAGAGGUCGCUGGAAUUCCUAGUGUAGCAGUGAAAUGCGUAGAUAUUAGGAAGAACACCGAUGGCGUAGGCAGGCGACUGGGAUAUUUCUGACGCUAAGGCACGAAAGCGUGGGUAGCGAACCGGAUUAGAUACCCGGGUAGUCCACGCCGUAAACGAUGGAUGCUAAUUGUUUGAGGUAUCGACCCCUCGAGUAAUAAAGCUAACGCGUUAAGCAUCCCGCCUGUGGAGUACGGCCGCAAGGCUAAAACAUAAAGGAAUUGACGGGGACCCGCACAAGCGGUGGAGGAUGUUCUUUAAUUCGAAGCUAAGCGAAGAACCUUACCAGGGCUUGACAUCCCUAGAACUUUUUCGAAAGAAAAAGGUGCCUUCGGGAGCUAGGUGACAGAUCCUGCAUGGCCGUCGUCAGCUCGUGUCGUGAGAUGUUUGGUUAAGUCCAUCAACGAGCGCAACCCUUGUCGUCAGUUGUAUUUUUCUGGCGAGACUGCCCCGGUAACGGGGAGGAAGGAGGGGAUGAUGUCUGGUCAGUAUUGGUCUUACGCCCUGGGCUAGAAACGUCCUACAAUGGUCGGUACAAUGGGCAGCCAACCCGUGAGGGGGAGCAAAUCCCAUCAAAGCCGGUCUCAGUUCGGAUUGCAGGCUGAAACUCGCCUGCAUGAAGUCGGAAUCGCUAGUAAUCGCAGAUCAGCACGUUGCGGUGAAUACGUUCCCGGGUCUUGUACACACCGCCCGUCAAACCAUGAAAGUCAGGAGCACCCGACGUCCGGAUUUAUUUCGGCCUAAGGUGAGCUUGGUGAUUGGGGUUAAGUCGUAACAAGGUAUCCGUACCGGAAGGUGCGGAUG